GCCUUUGGCAGUGCCUGCAAAGUAUGCUGGAUUCUCAAGCAUGUCGCACUGCAUGCUUGUUACAGGUAUAUAUGCAGACAAAAUUGUGCUCCCUCUCUAAUAUUUUAUACAUGCAUUUAUUAAUUAUUUCCCUCUUGCUUGUAGAUGACCAAGGCCCUAUUUGAGAAGCCAUACACCACACAUAGCAUUAGAAGGUCAGCAGCACGCUGGGCAGCCAGAUGUGGUGCUGAUGAUAGCACAAUCAAAAGGGCUGGUCGCUGGAAGUCGAGCAGCUUUGAACUUUACACCCAAGACGCAAGAGCAGAAAUGAUUACUGAACUUCAUGACGACAAUCAAAGCCAAGACCAUCUGCUGUGGAUGUUCAAGCCCCUCAGAUGAAGCACCUCCCACUACAUGCCAUCCAGACAAUUAUUUCUGCCCUUGCGCCUUGGCAGCCUACUGUCAAAUCAUAGCCAUCAUCAAAUGCUAUCCUACAUGGAAGGACAACCAUUCAAACCAUGGAAGGAAAACCAUACAAACCACCCUCCAUCAAAGUCAUGAUCAAUGGGACCAUGCAUGGAAGGAAAACCAUUCAAACCAAUGGAGGACAACCAUUCAAACCAUGGAAGGAAAACCAUACAAACCACCAUCCAUCAAAGUCAUGGUCAAUGGGACCAUGCAUGGAAGGAAAACCAUGUAAACCCCUGAGGGGCAGUGGCUACACAUCCAUGGGGUGUAGAAUGGAGAUGUCAGGCGUUUCCUCCCUCCACUACCCUAGGUGUUCACCUUGGGCAAGUGAUAUCCCACCUCUAGCCUCCCAUUGCCCUAGGUUACAAGAUAGCGUCAGAUAAAAACUUGGCGACAAUGAGCCCUUGGCAAGGGUGAUACCCCGAUCUAUUGAUCGUUAAUACCGCAUUGAAUUAUGCGGGGGGACCAAGAAGCCCUUAUCUAUACAAGAGCAAGUAAAAAAUAAAAGAACAAUACUUUCAUUUGAACAUAUCUAUAUUGAUUAGGUAUUCCAACCUCCAUCAUCUCACAUACCCUUAUCGACUUAACCUGCCUUUCACCACUUUACCUGCCUCCAACUGGCUAGCCUGUACUUCAGUGACUUACCCAUUCCUCGUUAAUUUACACUCAUCAGCUUCCAUUCUGUAACAGUCUUAACUUCCCUAACUGGCUACCUUCAAGAAUGGAAGGAAAACCUUACAAACCAUCCUUAAUCAAAAAAAUGGACAACAAAACCAUGCAUGGAAGUAAAACCAUGGAAUUGAAACCAUUCAAACAAAAAGACAGUCAUUCAAACCAUCAAAGGAAAACCAUUGCAGUGUUUGCCUUGGGCAAGUGAUAAGACACCACUAGCCUCCCUUUUCUCUUUUCUAAGAACAAAAACCCUUACUGCCAAUACCACCCUCGGCAUUUCUGGGUUGCCCCACAGGUAAAUAGAGGUACUUUAAUGUUGUUGCCUCAUUCUUAUCUGACUCCAAAGUCAGGGCCAUUUCUCAUGCCUAUAGCCUAAGAACUGAAAUUGAUAUGUAUUUUGCAUUUUGAAUAUCCCUUGUUUGGUUAUCUUUUCUACGUUUCUUACCAAUUUUACACAACUCGUUCUAUUUGCACCAUUACCAAAAACCCCAUGAUUAUUCUUUUCAUUGAAUCCAAUUAAUUCUUUUCAUUCUUUUCAGUGAAUCCAAAGUAAAGGUGAACAAUACUGAUGGGAAAAUGCACUGCAUUUCACUGCAUUUUAUGCAGGUGCUUGUACUCAGCACAUCCUUUUCCAGUGCUUUAUGCUUGUGGCAGUUGGCUGUCAAAUAUGGAGUGGAAUAUUGGACAUCCCUUUACAGAUAUAUUUUCUUAUUCUGCUGUGCUGUCUUGUUGAAAUAAAUUUGAUCCAGGAUCUUUUUAA